GCCACUGUAGCUCAAUUGGCAGAGCAGCGGUUUUGUAAACCGCAGGUUGCGGGUUCGAGUCCCGCCGGUGGCU
rnacentral:tRNA from 4 species